GAUUAACGCUGGCGGCGUGCAUGAGACAUGCAAGUCGAACGGACGAGCGGGCUUGCCUGCUCGUUAGUGGCGGACGGCUGAGUAACGCGUAGGUGACCUGCCCCGAAGUGGGGAAUAACUGCCCGAAAGGGUGGCUAAUACCGCAUGUGGAGCCUGGUUCGUUCCAGUCUCCAAAGCAGCAAUGCGCUUCGGGAGGGGCCUGCGUCCGAUUAGCUCGUUGGUGGGGUAACGGCUCACCAAGGCGACGAUGGGGAAGUGGUCUGAGAGGACGAUCACCCAGACUGGGACUGAGACACGGCCCAGACUCCUACGGGAGGCAGCAGUGGGGAAUAUUGGACAAUGGGCGCAAGCCUGAUCCAGCCAUGCCGCGUGAGUGAUGAAGGCCUUAGGGUUGUAAAGCUCUUUCACCGAUGAAGAUAAUGACGGUAGUCGGAGAAGAAGCCCCGGCUAACUUCGUGCCAGCCGCCGCCGUAAGAC
rnacentral:rRNA from 1 species